rnacentral:rRNA from 1 species
UCGAGAAUCUUCCGCAAUGGACGAAAGUCUGACGGAGCGACGCCGCGUGAUUGAUGAAGUCCUUCGGGACGUAAAGAUCUUUUAUGGGGGAGGAAGUUAUUGACGUUACCCCAUGAAUAAGAGGCUCCUAACUCUGUGCCAGCAGGAGCGGUAAUACAGAGGCCUCAAGCGUUACCCGGAAUCACUGGGCGUAAAGGGUGUGUAGGCGGUUAUGUUAGUCCUUCGUAAAAGCUUUCGGGCUUAACCCGGAAAAUGCGGGGGAAACGGCAUAACUUCGAGGAUGUGAGAGGUACAGGGAACUCAUGGUGUAGGGGUGAAAUCCGUUGAUAUCAUGGGGAACACCAAAUGCGAAGGCACUGUACUGGCACAUUCCUGACGCUGAAACACGAAAGCGUGGGUAGCGAACGGGAUUAGAUACCCCCGUAGUCC